GGGGAUUUGGCUCAGUGGUAGAGCACUUGCCUAGCAAGCGCAAGGCCCUGGGUUCGGUUCCCAGCUCCA
rfam:Rattus norvegicus chromosome 4, whole genome shotgun sequence.